GAGACGGUGUUUGUUCUUGUUGCCUGGGCUGGAGUGCAAUGGCGUGAUCUCGGCUCACCUCAACCUCCGCCUCCCAGGUUCAAGCAAUUCUCCUGCUUCAGCCUCCCGAGUACCUGAGAUCACAGGCGCCCACCACCACACCCGACUGAUUUUGUAUUUUUAAUAGAGACGGGGUUACUCCAUGUUGGUCAGGCUGGUCUUAAACUCCCAACCUCAGGUGAUCCACCCACCUCGGCCUCCCAAAGUGCUGGGAUUACAGGCAUCAGCCACUGCCCGCAGCCCAACAGCUUUUAUCAGCUUCACUACAAAAUAUUUACAUCCUGAUCAGGAUGCACCAGCUUUCCUGAAUCUCAGGAUUCCUGCCUCCCAGUAAUCCUGGAAAAUUAUCUGCCAUUAUCUCUUCAAAUAUUGCCUUCUCUGUCUCCCUUCUAUCUUGGAAAUCUUAUUACAUCCACCACUCAGGCACCUGUAACCCAGCUACUCGGGAGGCUGAGACAGGAGAAUCGCUUGAACCUGGGAGGCAGAGGUUGCGGUGAGUCGAGAUCGUGCCAUUGCACACCAGCCUGGGCAACAGAGAGAUAUU
rnacentral:lncRNA from 10 species